rnacentral:rRNA from 1 species
AUUGAACGCUGGCGGAAUGCUUUACACAUGCAAGUCGAACGGCAGCACGGACUUCGGUCUGGUGGCGAGUGGCGAACGGGUGAGUAAUGUAUCGGAACGUGCCCAGUCGUGGGGGAUAACGUAGUGAAAAUUACGCUAAUACCGCAUACGAUCUAUGGAUGAAAGCGGGGGAUCGCAAGACCUCGCGCGAUUGGAGCGGCCGAUAUCAGAUUAGGUAGUUGGUGGGGUAAAGGCCCACCAAGCCAACGAUCUGUAGCUGGUCUGAGAAGACGACCAGCCACGCUGGAACUGAGACACGGUCCAGACUCCUACGGGAGGCAGCAGUGGAGAAUUUUGGACAAUGGGCGGAAGCCUGAUCCAGCCAUUCCGCGUGCAGGAUGAAGGCCCUCGGGUUGUAAACUGCUUUUGUACAGAACGAAAAGGUUUCUACUAAUACUAGGAGCUCAUGACGGUACUGUAAGAAUAAGCACCGGCUAACUACGUGCCAGCAGCCGCAGUAA